rnacentral:rRNA from 1 species
UACAGAGGUCCCAAGCGUUGUUCGGAUUCACUGGGCGUAAAGGGUGCGUAGGCGGGUCUUUAAGUCAGGGGUGAAAUCCUGGAGCUCAACUCCAGAACUGCCUUUGAUACUGAGGAUCUUGAGUUCGGGAGAGGUGAGUGGAACUGCGAGUGUAGAGGUGAAAUUCGUAGAUAUUCGCAAGAACACCAGUGGCGAAGGCGGCUCACUGGCCCGAUACUGACGCUGAGGCACGAAAGCGCGGGGAGCAAACAGG